GCAUUAUAGAACCUACCAAGGCGUGGGGCCUCGAGGGCCUCAGCAAAAACAGAUCGCCCAACGCUCGUUCCUGAAGAAAAUGGAGAAGUCUUCAACGUAGCUGUACAUGGGAUACAUGAGGGCGUCUCUGAUGUUGGAGUGGUCCAGACCCAGGGCAUGACCAAACUCGUGGGCCGCAACCAGGAACAGACUGUAGCCUGAGAGAGGAGAGGGUGAGUAGAAACACAUCAUUAAGUCAGUUGUAGUGUGCACCUAUGGCCUGAGUGCAAGUCUGCUAUCAUGCCAACUACCCGUCAAGCCAUGUCAUGUUUGGCUGUAAAAUUACAGUAAUGGAGUUGGCUCGAGCACAAACAGAUCUGGGACCAGGCUAUAGAAGGAGACAACCGAUCUGGGACCAGGCUAUAGACGUAGACAACAGAUCUGUGACCAGGCUAUAGAAGUAGACAACAGAUCUGGGACCAGGCUAUAGAAGGAGACAACAGAUCUGGGACCAGGCUAUAGAAGUAGACAACAGAUCUGAAACCAGGCUAUAGAAGGAGACAACAGAUCUGGGACCAGGCUAGUGCACCUACAGUAAUAUACAUUUUCCACACUAUUCAACCAAGAUGAGCUAUACUGCGCUGUCCUGGUUAUGCAUAUACCAAGAACCAUGCUGGAAAGGGCAAUUUGAAAGUAAAUGAUCCGAGCCAGCAGUUUGAGUCAGCAUGGUAGGUGCACUGACACUGUCUAUGUCACUCACCCCUAUCUGGGCAGAAGCCCCAUUUCGUGUCUGCGUCAAAGUCGCCGGUGGUAGCGCACCACAGCCUGCCGUCUCCCCGUCCCUCGCUGGUGCAUGCGUCAUACUUCUUCCCCAGGAAGACAAAGGGGAACUGGCACGGCUCUCCCUCAGAGUUUCCACCAAUCACAGCCGUAUCUGUCAUAACACAGACACAACACUAUUAGGGAACAUGUGUCACUGAAGGCAGGCUAGUGAUUCAUGUAUGUGUGACAGUAAUCAGACCUGGUUUCAAAUACUAUUUUGUUUUCUCUGGCUGUGCUUGAUUGAGGUUUCCUGGAGCAAUGGAACCAUUGGAAUAGUCCCAAAAAUGCAAACCCCGCCCAUCUGACUCUCCAGACAGGAUCAAUCAAACAUUCAAAGUAUUUGAAAGAAAUAUAAUACUAUUUGAACCCAGGUAUGGUAGUGGUGACAGUGACACUCCCUCACCUCUGUUGGGACAGAAGCCAUAUUUCUUAUCCUUGUCAAAGUUGUCUGUGGUGGAACACCAGCGGUAUCCAUCACUGCGACCCUCCGUGGUGCAACCUUCAUAUGUCUCCCCCAGGAAAACGAAGGGGAACACACAUUCUUUGCCGUUGCUGUUUCCGUCGAAUGUGUACAGAACUGUGUGUGAGAAAACGGACAGAGGGAGCGAGAGAGAGAGAAAGAGGGAGAGAAAGAGAGAGAGAAAGAGGUAGAGAGACAGGGGACAUAUAAUUAGAGGCAUGUCAAAGCAAACUCUGUCUAAAAGACUUUCUGACCAAUCAUUCCUCUCAAGUAUUAACUAUCAAUCUUACGUUCACUUGGACAGAAGCCGAAUUUCUUGUCUCUGCCGUAGUCGGCUGUGGUGGCACACCAGGGCAGGUUGUCAGAGCGCCCCUCUGUGGUGCAGGUGGAGUACUCCUUGCCCUCGAAGGAGAAAGGGAAGUGGCACAGGGCACCCUCUGCGUUGCCAAAGCUAGUCUUCACAGCUAGAACAAAAAAAGUGAUGUUUUUAUUGGGAGCAAUUGUGAACAAUAGCUAUGUCAAACAUGAUUAAAUACAUAUAAUAAGAUGGUUCACUGCAGCUCAAGAUUUCAAUCCUACGGAUGAUGUGGAGAUGUUGACAGAGGCACAUAGUUCAGUUCAAUCUCAGUCAAUAAGAUGCUUAAAAUGGACACUACGGGGAGACCUAGUAUCAUGGAAUACUGGACACUACGGGGUGACCUAGCAUCAUGAAAUACUGGACACUACGGGGAGACCUAGUAUCAUGAAAUACUGGACACUACGGGGUGACCUAGCAUCAUGAAAUACUGGACACUACGGGGAGACCUAGCAUCAUGAAAUACUGGACACUACGGACGAGACCUAGCAUCAUGAAAUACUGGACACUACGGGGUGACCUAGCUCCAUGAAAUACUGGACACUACGGGGAGACCUAGCAUCAUGAAAUACUGGACACUACGGGGAGACGUAGCAUCAUGAAAUACUGGACACUACGGGGAGACGUAGCAUCAUGAAAUACUGGACACUACGGGGUGACCUAGCAUCAUGAGAUACUGGACACUACGCGGUGACGUAGCAUCAUGAAAUACUGGACACUACGGGCGAGACCUAGGUCCAUGAAAUACUGCCUGACUGAAACAGCCAGGAUUGACUAUACACCUCCAUGCUUACCUGCUCCUUUGCCGAGGGUCCAGUUUUCGUCAUCGUCAAAGUGGGCGUCUCCCUGUAUGCCCUCACCAGGGGGGAAGGCGUGGGCCAGAAGGCCGUCCUUACCAUCGAAGGGGUAGCCGUCUCCAUGAUCUGGAAAAUAACAAGGCAAUGAAUUAAUGCCAUUAAUUUCAUGCAGGGUUGGGGUCAAAUGUAUUUCAAUAUGGUCAGUUCAGUUAGUUCCUUUCAUGUUUCUUCAAUAAAGAUUUAAUUUGGAUGUGUAUUCUUCAAAUUAGAGAUAUGUUUAAAACUGUAAAUGUUCUGGGAGGCUGAGGCUGUUUAAUUGAUGCUUUCAGAGAUUGUAUGGCACAUAUUGCAUAGCCUUGAAAUCCAAAACUGACAUGCGCUGUUUCACUGAAGUGAAACAAUGGGUGAAAAAACAAGAGCAUCAGUUUGGAUCCCGGGCUGCGGUAACUGUAUUACCGCAGCCCUUCUUUACCUGCUUUUCCAAAUGACACCAUGAUGUCGGCGGUGCCGUCGAACAGUCGCGUGAAGGUGAGAGGGGUGACCUCGCUCCACACCUUGAAGGCUCUGGCGAAGGCAUCGUCUAUCAGAGAGGCUCCCAUGUCUGGUGAGUAGUUCAGGAUCCUAGAGAGAAAAGCAAAUCGCUAUGAAGGCAACUGAGGCUUUAACGGCCACAUGUUUAGCUACUUGCUCUGUUUACUGUAAAUCAUAUAGUAUUUCCAGGCCAUUGUUACACUGUGCACACCUGGCUUUAACUUCUCCGCACACUAUACCUGUAACACUAACCUCGUCCACACUGGGUGGAUGAGAUUACCCCAACCCUAAUGCUAGAACCCUAAACCAGUCCCACAUAAUCCCCUUCACAGUACCUGUAUGUAACAUCAUGAUGAUCCCAUUUUAGGUCCCCGUCAAAGGUCUGGUAGGAGCGUACGUCGGGUACCCCACAGCGAGGUGCCUUCAUGGCUGCUACCGUAGACUUGUCCAGCGUCCCUGUCUCCUCCAACCCCAUCUGCCUCUGCAUUCUCGUCAGAGCCUUGGAGUUGGACACCAUGGACUGGAAACCACUGCGGUGCUGAACGUUCAUGUAGCCAAAUCUCUUCAGGUAGCUCUGGAGCUCCAAAUCCGUCAUGUUCUUAAGGACAUCUCCAGGGAAGGUGACAGACACGCUUUUCUUCAGGGGAACGCACCAUCCACCUACAGUGCACAUUGCCAACACUAGGAAAACCAGAACUCUAUGGUGAGAUCUCAUGGUGAGACCAAGGUAAGAUGAAAGUCGCCCAAAGUAAUAGAGAAGAUACUAUGAUGUGCCAGACAGCCAAUGAAGGGACUCUCAGUGACAGUAACAAAGCUUGCAGUGGAUCACUGUUCCUUGAAGUUCAGUGGAUAGGAUGUUCUCCUUUGGUGCUUUGUGCUUUGGGUUCAGUAUUUAUGCUCUUAGUCUUAGUCACCCUCUUAACCUCCACCCCCUUUCUCUCUCUCUCUCUCUCUCUCUCUCUCUCUCUCUCUCUCUCUCUCUCUCUCUCUCACUCUCUCUCCCUCUCUCUCUCUCUCUCUCUCUCUCUCUCUCUCUCUCGGUCAUUACCCCUCCCACUGGGAGUGAGCAUAAUGUUAUUGUUCAGGGGGUUUCCAAAAUGUAGUAAUCUACAAAUGUAUCCCAAUAUCUAACUUUUUUUGUUCCGUUUUGACAUGUACAAGGAUCACAGGAGAUUGGUGGAACCUUAAUUAGGGAGGACAGGGCUCGUGGUAAUGACUGGAGCGGAAAUAAGUGGAAUGAUAUCAAAUACAUCAAACACGUGAUUUCCAUGAGUUCGAUGCCGUUCCAUUCGCUCCUUUCCAGACAUUAUUAUGAGCUGUCCUCCCGUCACCAGCCUCCACUGACGAGGAUAACAUACACAGUUGGGAACAUACACAGUUGAAUAAUUAUGUUUUGGCUUUUAUUCUAGUCAAAGCAAUGUAUGGAAUUUUGGCAAAAGAGUGACACUAUGACAUAAAUGUAAUCUAAAAUAACUAUUUCUUAUGGGAACCUAUUUCCUGUAGUAACAGGAAAUGCCAGCAUAACAACAUAUCCCUCAACGUAACCAAGACUAAGAAGAUGAUUGUGGACUACAGGAAAAGGAGGACCGAGCACGCCCCCAUUCUCAUCGACGGGGCUGCAGUGGAGCAGGUUGAGAGCUUCAUGUUCCUUGGUGUCCACAUCAACAACAAACUAGAAUGGUCCAAACACACCAAGACAGUCAUGAAGAGGGCACGACAAAGCCUAUUCCCCCUCAGGAAACUCAAAAGGUUCUACAGCUGCAACAUCGAGAGCAUCCUGACUGGUUGCAUCACUGCCUGGUACGGCAAUUGCUUGGCCUCUGACCGCAAGGCACUACAGAGGGUAGUGUGAACGGCCCAGUACAUCACUGGGGCCAAGCUUCCUGCCAUCCAGGACCUCUACACCAGGUGGUGUCAGAGGAAGGCCCUAAAAAUUGUCAAAGACCCCAGCCACCCCAGUCAUAGACUGUUCUCUCUACUACCGCAUGGCAAGCGGUACCGGAGUGCCAAGUCUAGGACCAAAAGGCUUCUCAACAGUUUUUACCCUCAAGCCAUAAGACUCCUAAAUAGGUAAUCAAAUGGCUCCCCGGACUAUUUGCAUUGUGUGCCCCCCCCAACCCCUCUUUUUACACUGCUGCUACUCUCUGUUUAUCAUAUAUGCAUAGUCACUUUAACUAUACAUUCAUGUACAUACUACCUGAAUUGGGCCGACCAACCAGUGCUCCCGCACAUGGGCUAACCGGGCUAUCUGCAUUGUGUCCCGCCACCCACCACCCGCCAACCCCUCUUUUACACUACUGCUACUUUCUGUUCAUCAUAUAUGCAUAGUCACUUUAACCAUAUCUACAUGUACAUACUACCUCAAUCAGCCUGACUAACCGGUGUCUGUAUGUAGCCUCGCUACUUUUAUAGCCUCGCUACUGUAUAUAGCCUGUCUUUUUACUGUUUUAUUUCUAUACCUACCUAUUGUUCACCUAAUACCUUCUUUGCACUAUUGGUUAGAGCCUGUAAGUAAGCAUUUCCCUGUAAGUUCUACACCUUAGUUUUAUUCGGCGCACGUAAUAAACUUUGAUUUGAUUUGAA